GAUGCAUGUCGUCGCGGUCCUCGGCCAGCCCAUCCCGCGCGUCGCUUGCGCGUGUAUUGGCUGAGGCACGGCAGGGACGGCAGUCACGACAUGCCUCCUCGGCCCAGCUGCAGCGGUACCUCCUUCGGUGGUUUCCACGGGGCCUGUGGUCAUUCAUCUACCGGGCAUCUCCCCGUGGGGGGCAAGGCGUAGCCGCGAAGGCAAAUGUAUACCGCCGGUUUUGCAGGGACCCGCCUCGUGUGUCACACGAAUGGACCGCAGCGCUGCAGCUUGUGGAGCUUGCCUGUCUAGUGGACACGAUGCCGGGCACCUCCCUGUCGAAGGGGCACCACGAAGCAGGACUGCCAAUAAGCAUACCUACACCCGAACCUGACUCGGUGGUGCAAGCGACGGAGCAUCUUUUGCGGUAUGGUGUAUUUCCGCCAGCCGGCUGGGCGCUGACGCUGCGGCUCCUCCAUCAAUGGCGGGAGAGACAGCCACGCGCGCGACUGCAUGUGUUCCCGACCUCUCUCAGCCCUCCUGCUGCAGCACAGCUGCUGCACCACAUCAGCCUCGCCCCGCCGUCGCAACAAGCGUGGCAGGAUGCGCUGUGUCUCUACCACCUCUGCGCCACAGAGGUGCACACCCCAUCCAGCAACGGCCAACCUUUAUCCACCAAAACAGUAGCGUCUCCGUCACCGCCGAUGAGCACGGCAGAUACAGCGGUCCACUCCGCCUUCCUGAAGGCACUGCGCCACAUGACCCUUACGACUUUUCUGCAGGCCGAUGAGUGGGAGAGAGGGCUCCACUUUUACUAUCACACCCUCUAUCAGCGUGACUUGCCAGGUCCCAUAACGACAUCAUACUUGGUGCAGCAGCUGGGCCGUGCCGGACAAUGGGCGGCGGUACUGCAGGUGUAUGAGCUGUGCGUGAAGUUGCUCCACGCGCAACGGCACCAACGCGAGCAGCAGCAGCGGCUGCCCCUGCAUGGGGACGACUGGUCGUCGCGGCAGUGGGGGACCACGCUCUCGAUGGCGAUGGCCGCGGCACAAAACUCUCCUGGCGCCCCUGCGAGCACUCUCGCCGCGAUGAUGCGGCAGCUGCAGCCGGGCAUCGGCACCACAUCUACCCUCUCCACCGGUAUGACUGGCGCCGCUUCCUCUUCCUCUCCCCCUCUAGUGCGACUGAGCGGCCACUUCCUCUCCGCUCUGCAGGCGCUCCCCUCGGAGAAGGACCGCUUGACGGUGCUGGGCCUCGCCCGGAGCGGAUCUCUGCUGGACAUCUUUAAGCUCAUUCGGGGUCUGAUCUCGAAGCAUAAGUGGGAAGAGGCACUGCUGCUGUUCGAGGAAGCCAUGCGCUCCAAGCCGGCCCGCACGUUAAGCCCCGAUCCUCGAAGCGGGGGCGCUCCAGGGCCCCACGCAUCUGCGGAGCCCACUAUUAGGAAACCGCUUGCCCUUUCUCGGAGAGAGAUCGGAGAGGCACGGCUCGGCUUUCUUCACGAGGCCACCAUCGACUCGGUGACCGCAGUCGUGGCGGCGCUGAAUCGGCACCGCAGUGCAACAGGGAAGCUACGCGCCGGCGCCCAGCGAGAGGGCGAAGGCGCCCGUCACCCUCCUUGCGCGGCUGAAGUGAACUCGAUGCGGCUGAUGCUGAAUGACCGAGAGGUGGAGUGCGUUUUAUCGAAGACUUUGGCGCUGAGAGAGGCGGAACAUCGCGUUCUCUCUCCCGCGGCGCUUGGGACCCGCGAGCACUUCUGGCGCUACUGCCUUGAACUCCUCGCUUUCAACUACGGUGCGCUUCCCUGUGGCGACGCGAGUGCGAAGGUGUCUCGCUCGCCUGAACAAGGGAACGAAGGGCACAGCGGCCCUCCUCGUUCACCGCGCCGUACACCGACACUGGCGGCGCUGUCGUUCCUGCUGCGUCACCCACAGCUCCCCUGGCAUGUGGCUCUGCGGCUCCUUCGGCAUUACGGUGUUUUAGAGACGUGUCCAGAUGAAAGAGCUGCUGCGAGCACACGCGCCACAGGCCGCCGCGCUGCAUCACCUUCAUCGGUGGUUCAGCGGACCACGAUGUCCUCGCCGCCGACGCCACGUUCGCUGACGUUGGCUGCCGCUGUGGAACUCCUCCGCACUCAGGGACAACUCCAAGCAGCGGAGAAGCUGGCGUUAGAGUCUCUAGACAUGGAGGUGGCAGAGAAGAGUCUCGGCGCGGGAGCUGUCGUCUCACUCUCUGCGGCACUGCUGGAGGUUGCACAAUACCCAACCCUGCGGAGCGUGCUGCUGGAAAGGGAAGAGGAGAGGCUGACAGUCGAGGGGUCGACGCUGUUCCACUUACUGCACGAGAGCACGCGUGUAAGAAGGACCCAGGGGGAGGAUCACGAUGAUGAUGGCGUUCAUGGGACGUCCUGUGAAACCGCCAACUCUUCUGCGCCCCCCUGGUGGGCGGGCAGCGCCGCCUUCUUCCAGCACCCGAGCGGACGUGCCCUCACAGUGGUGUGGCUGUUGAUGCAGCGACGCAUGCACCCUCAGAUGACCACCACUGAUGCGGCGCGGCAAGACGGCUCUGGAAGUUUGCUGUCCUCUCUGUUUCUCUGCGUACCUCCACCGCCAACAGCCUCCGUCGCCGCUGCAAGCUUGGCGGCCCCUCUCCACUCGUGGCUCCUGGCGUACCCCGUAGCCGUGCACUGCGAGGUAGUGCGCGCCAUCAAGUGUCUGACUUCGCCGUCGGCACCGUCCAUGUCGUCCACUUCCUCUUCCCCAGAGGCAGGUCUGUGCUACACACAGCGAUGGGUAUGGACGCGGCGCUACCUUGCAUCUCUUGCAGCGCACUUCUCUGCACCUUGCACCGACACACGGGCACGUAGCGAGGAGGGGUCUUUUGUAGAGAACGAGCCUGGCCAUGCAGCAGCGGAUGCGGUGGCGAGGGAGGCUUAUUACGGUGCCACCUUCGAGGCAGUCGUUUCUCUUUUGGAUGCUGCGGUGCCGAGGACCCCCGACUCGCGCGAUCGGGUAAGCCAACGGAUGCAAAUGGAUGCAUUCACUCCUGCAACGGUCGCGGAACAAGGCGGAGCUGCUCCGCGCAAUUCUGCGCAGCGGGUCCAGCAGCUAUGCCAACUGCUGGAGCGCGCUAUUAUGCGCUACGGAUGCCUGCCGCCGACGCACAUGCUUUUGCCAAACCAGCUGGACCGCCUUCUUCCACCGCUGCCGCGCUCAGGUCUACCCUCCACUGAUGUGAGUGUUGGAGAGAAACAAUCACGACAUGACUGCGUCGACCGUGAUGGCGCAUGCGCGGAGCGCUGCGCGGUGGCGCUUCACUUGGUUCGGCUCGUUUUGGGUGCUCUCAAAGACGCGGGGGCACGCUAUUCCGUGGAGCCGGUGCUGCUGCACGGCCUUCUGAAGCUCUGCUGCCGUGUUGCCGAGCAUGACCAGGCCUCUUUGACGGUUGCUAAGGGGGCAGUAGGCUCUGACAUCGACAGCAGCGCUGAAGUCAGCAGAGCUGGCGCGAUGUUGGUGCGGCUGCAAUGUGAGCUGUGUGGCCUGCAGACAGUACGCCCGGGCACCCUCUCGCUCCUGUACCACUUGUGUGCCGCUGCACAGUCACGCGCCAGCUCUUACGGCCACACUGUCCCGCGGCAGGUGGCCCUCGAGACCACUCGUUACCUAUUAGAGGCGCAGACCGCGGCGGCUGCGCGGAAGGAUCAGCGACAUCAACGGCAGGAGGGUGCACUGCCGAGCGCCACGUCGGCCUCUACCGCGUCAUCGUUGCGGCCCCAAAAUGGGCAGCAGCGCCUCGACGCGCUAAGCCCCUUUUGCGCAGUUCAGGCGCGCCACUGCGAACUCUUCUUCUCGUUGUUAGGGUGGGAGGACGCGCUGGAGGUGUGGUAUCGCGCUUAUCCCCACGAGGUCCUCACUCAGCUUUCGAGAAACCCGCAGGCGGUGGAGGCCUGCCUAAGCCUUGGUGAGAGCAGUCAAAUCUGAGAGCAGCACGUUACCGCCUCGUGGCUCCGAAUGGAACGCGUGAUGGGACGUCGACUUCGAUGUGCUCGUCUGCGUACGUUCCUCUCAGGUAUCGCCUGCCAGCGUACGUCAGGGUGUUGUGAUGCCCUCUCGGUAUGCGCGCGGUGCCUCGCUUUCUCUGUGUAUGUCGCCUCCAUUUCCUUUGUUCCUCGCACAUUUUUCGCAUCCCAACAGUC
rnacentral:misc_RNA from 1 species